rnacentral:lncRNA from 1 species
UCAUUGAGCAGGAGCCACUUCCUGCUGUUUCUGCCUCUGUGUGUGUGUGUGUGUGUGUGUGUGUGUGUGUGUGUGUCUGUGUGUGUGUGUGUGUGUGUGUGUGUGUCUGUGUCUGUGUCUGUGUGUGUGUGUGUGUGUGUGUGUGUGUGUGUGUGUGUGUGUGUGUGUGUGUGUACCUUCAGUUAUUUCUUUGACAGCCAGUGUCUUUCAUUUCACAGGAGAUGUCACACUCAUCAGAGAUGACAGUGAAGAGUAACACUAGAGAAAGUGUCCCGCCCCUCCAGCAGUCUCAGAUGCACCAUCAUGAAAAGACCGUAUUUAAUCAAGCUGUUGACCAGCACAUGACCUCCAACUCUGAAAACCAUGUUGAUGGAAAUGGUUAGUUAUUCAUUAACCAUGCCUUUCCUUUUAAGUAGAUAAAUAAAUCCCUGUUCUUCUUUGGAUAUAUUGCA